GGGAAGGUGGCUCAGUGGUAGAGUGCUUGCCUUGCAUUCAUGAGGCCAUGGGUUCGAUUCCUCAGUACCA
rfam:Dipodomys ordii contig_54421, whole genome shotgun sequence.